rnacentral:rRNA from 1 species
AGGACGAACGCUGGCGGCGCGCCUUACGCAUGCAAGUCGAACGGACCUUCGGGUUAGUGGCGGACGGCUGAGUAACGCGUAGGUAAUCUGCCCAGUAGUGGGGGACAACCUGCCGAAAGGUGGGCUAAUACCGCAUAAGUCCCCGGGUUGAAACUCCCCGGGGGGAAAGCAUUUAUGCGCUACUGGAGGAGCCUGCGUCUUAUCAGGUAGUUGGUGGGGUAAUGGCCUACCAAGCCUUUGACGGGUAGCUGGUCUGAGAGGACGACCAGCCAGAAGGGGACUGAGACACGGCCCCUACUCCUACGGGAGCAGCAGCGAGGAAUCUUGGGCAAUGGGCGAAAGCCUGACCCAGCGACGCCGCGUGAGGGAUGGAAGGCCUUCGGGGUCUAAACCUCUUUUAUGGGAGAAGAAGUUCUGACGGUAUCCCAUGAAUAAGCCACGGCUAACUACGUGCCAGCAGCCGC